rnacentral:tRNA from 1 species
GGGAUAUUAGUUUAGCGGUUAGAAUGCUGGUUUUUCAGGCCAUGCGACUUCGGUUCGAGUCCGAAAUAUCCUACCA